rnacentral:rRNA from 1 species
AUUGAACGCUGGCGGCAUGCUUUACACAUGCAAGUCGAACGGCAGCGCGGGCUUCGGCCUGGCGGCGAGUGGCGAACGGGUGAGUAAUGCAUCGGAACGUGCCCAGUAGUGGGGGAUAGCCCGGCGAAAGCCGGAUUAAUACCGCAUACGACCUGAGGGUGAAAGCGGGGGACCGAAAGGCCUCGCGCUAUUGGAGCGGCCGAUGUCGGAUUAGCUAGUUGGUGGGGUAAAGGCUUACCAAGGCGACGAUCCGUAGCUGGUCUGAGAGGACGACCAGCCACACUGGGACUGAGACACGGCCCAGACUCCUACGGGAGGCAGCAGUGGGGAAUUUUGGACAAUGGGGGCAACCCUGAUCCAGCCAUGCCGCGUGCGGGAAGAAGGCCUUCGGGUUUUAAACCGCUUUUGUUCGGGAAGAAAUCCUCUGGGCUAAUACCCCGGGGGGAUGACGGUACCGGAAGAAUAAGCACCGGCUAACUACGUG